ensembl:miRNA
GAGUUAUGGCGUCAUCUAUCCUUUCUUUGGAAAAUGAUCUGAGAUGACACUGUAGCUC